UGUGGCUGUGUGGGUUCCGGUUCGGAAUCGGACGAUUCUUCUUCUUCUUCUUCUUCGCCGGAUUCCGAUUGGGGUUCCACCGGCUUCACA
rnacentral:pre_miRNA from 1 species